UGACCUUUGUGUAAAUUGAGAUUUAUAGCAGAGAAUGGUUUAUCACCUUGAAGGUAGUCUUUUUAAAAACUUGAUUGGAAAUCACUUGGCAUAUUUCUGACUUGAUAUAUUUAAUUCCAGGCCUCAACUGUAGAAACAAUAACAAAGAAGUUAAGAGUUGAAAUCACACAGUUGCAGAAGUCGUUGGAGGAAUCUAGGUAUUGUGCUGGCAAAAUACAGUUCUUAUGUUUGUUGUCAUCAUGUCCACCUUCAAAUUCGGUGUGAAUUUCCUCAAGCUUUUUAUUAUACUCUGUAUUGCUUGACUGCAUCCAACAUAAUGUUGUUUUAGAUCAAGUUUGUAUAAGAUAUUACUCCUUUCAAAUUUUACAAUUAAAGCUUAGAUGGUGGGAGCACGAAAACUGGAAUAAGUAGUAAUAACAUUAACUACAGUUCAAAAUUAAGCCUGGUGCUUGACCGCAUUAUAUCAACUACAAUCACAUUUCAUGAAUGAGACUCAAUCAAUUGGCUAUGGUAAAGUAAAGUACCCUUUCUGCUAAUAUAUAGCAUAGUACAACUUUGAAGCUUCUUGUACUUUAUUAGUGAAAGAUCACUUCUGGCAGACUGCAAGAACACAAAUGAGAUGAGAUGACCCUCAUUGAUCACGAAAAUGCACAUGUCAUCUGCUGCCUCCCUCCCUCCCUCCCUCCUUACCC
rnacentral:lncRNA from 1 species